rnacentral:lncRNA from 1 species
CCACAGCUGGUGAAGCCAAUGAAAUAUGAGUCUCUGGGGACCCUGGAGGACUGUUGUUAGAAGGUACCUUUCUGUCAAGCGGAGUUAUACACGUGAUAAUUAGUGUCCGGCAAUUGAUCACUCAAAUCUUCUCUGAGAAAUUGCUGUAAUUAUGUGUUUUGUGUGCCUCUGCCAAGCUUGGGAUGAAUGAACACUCCAUGAAGAUCGCCUCAGAUUCUUUUGUAUCUGACAAAUGCAUGCCAUUCUAUGGACCUAGGGCUAAGGCCUGGACUCCUAUGCUAGCCAAGUGGGCUAAUUUUGAUUGUCAUCUUGAUCAGAUUAAGAAACAUCUAAGAGUUUCCUAAGUUUUACCAUGAGGACUCUAACCUAAUAGAUGGCUUAGUACGUCAUCU